rnacentral:rRNA from 1 species
CAGCAGCCGCGGGAAUACGAAGGGUGCAAGCGUUACUCGGAAUUACUGGGCGUAAAGCGUGCGUAGGUGGUGGUUUGAGUCCGUUGUGAAAGCCCUGGGCUCAACCUGGGAAUUGCAGUGGAUACUGGGUCACUAGAGUGUGGUAGAGGAUAGUGGAAUUUCCGGUGUAGCAGUGAAAUGCGUAGAGAUCGGAAGGAACAUCUGUGGCGAAGGCGACUAUCUGGGCCAACACUGACACUGAGGCACGAAAGCGUGGGGAGCAAACAGGAUUAGAUACCCCCGUAGUCCCUGUCUCUUAUAC